GACGAACGCUGGCGGCGUGCCUAAUACAUGCAAGUCGAGCGAAGAGGCGGAUGGGUGAGUAACGCGUGGGUAACCUGUCAGUAAGACUGGGAUAACAUUUGGAAACAGAAGAUAAUACCGGACAAUGAAGGAUGGACCUGCGAUGCAUUAGCUAGUUGGUAAGGUAACGGCUUACCAAGGCGCUGAUGCAUGGCCGAGUUGAUAGACUGAUCGGCCACAUUGGGACUGAGACACGGCCCGACCUCCUACGGGAGGCAGCAGUAGGGAAUAUUGCACAAUGGGCGCAAGCCUGAUGCAGCCAUGCCGCGUGUAUGAAGAAGGCCUUCGGGUUGUAAAGUACUUUCAGCGAGGAGGCGUUACUCGCAGAAGAAGCACCGGCUAACUCCGUGCCAGCAGCCGCGGUAAUAC
rnacentral:rRNA from 1 species